ensembl:lncRNA PPP1CB-DT PPP1CB divergent transcript
ACAGGAGACUGUUUAGGCCAUGCCUGGCAUCAGUAACUCAGGCUGUUUCCCACACUACAGGCCAGCACUGUGGGCUCUCAGUUUAUUGGGAAAUGGAAAUAAGAGGGAAGGACAAAAGUCCACUGGGAAGCAGACUGGACAGAAAGGAACUCUGAGCAGCUAAACUCUGACUAAUCCCAGGGUAUACCUGCGUUUUCUCUUCACCAGAUUUUUCCUACCAGGAAGAGCAUGUGCUGACCAACAGACAUGAAUUUCAGCCUGGUAGUUACAACAUUCACAGACAAACUGCGGCCUGGACCAGCUGGUGAAACAUAAUUCUGAAUCCUGCCCACAGCCUUCGGUGGUUUUGGAUGAAAGGCCAGCGCCUUGGGAGCCCUGCGUUUGAUUUCAAGUUUUAAGGCCGGCACUGGUGGAGCAAUGAAUGGUGAAAGCUCUCCCCUUAAAGGAGCACAGUUGCCUUUAGGUGACUGCUAACUCAGGCUUUUGCUGAGGACAGUGUUUACUUUGUGAGCUUAAUGACAGGGCUGGCUUUCUGGGAGUGUUGCAAUGAAACAGACUCAGACACAGGCCAUCAUGGGCCUCCUCCCUAGCAAGGCCGCCACGGCUGGCAUCUCAAGAGCAGUCCGUUGAACUUGGGAUUUGGGUGUGAGACACAGUUUCAUCAGAAGAAUUUAAACCAAAGUCUACAUUUGCCCUCUAGAUAAAUGUGUGUGUUCAGCAGCAACCACAACUCCUUGCCUCAUUCUCUUGGUUGAUUAUGUGACUGUGAGAAGAAAAGCAAAAGCAAAAAUGCGAAGCGUAGCUAUGAUGCUAUUUUAGUUAAAAAUAUUCUGGUAGAAUUUGAAGGUACCAUAGAGAUUACCUACAGAUGGAAAAAACUGAAGGUCAGAGAUGGGAAGUGCCUUGUCCAAGAUCACACAGCAUAUAAGGGAAGAAGUAGGACUGAAAUCCAGAUUUCUCUGUUCCUGUUCCUGUUUUCUCUUUUCUUUUUUUGAGACAAGGUCUCACUCUGUCGCCCAGGUUGGAGUGCAAUGGUGCAAUCUCGGCUCACUGCAACCUCCAACUCUUAGGCUCCAGAGACCAUCCUACCUCAGCCUCUUUAGUAGCUGAGAUCCUGGCUAUUUUUUAUUUUUGGUAGAGAUAGGGUUUCACCAUGUGGCCCAGUCUUGUCUUGAACUCCUGAGCUCAAACGAUCCACCCACCUUGGCCUCCCAAAGCGUUGGGAAUAUAGUGUGAGCCACUGCACCCGGCCAGGUCCUGGUCUCUUUUCAUUAUUAUACAGCUGUCAACAAUCAUGGAGAGUUCUUUUUCCCUUUUGUUGGGUUCUUGUUCCUUUGCAAAGUCUAUAAAGAACCAAGAUGAUCCAGGAAAUUCAGGGAGUCCUCAUUCACUUCCAAAGGCAGUUUGUUGUCUGUUGGCUGUGCUGUAUGAAUUGCUGUUUCAAUUAAGUUUUUCAACAUUUCCUAUGAAGGCAUGCAAAUGACCACUGAUUCUAAAUAAACCCAUUUAGGUAUUCAGGGUUUAUAAAUAUAGAGAA